rnacentral:sRNA from 1 species
GACCAGUAGCCAGCCAGCCAGCCAGCCAGACACGCAAGUGGAGGCAUUAAGCCCAAACGCAUGAGCCAGCAAGUGGCCAUUUUGGCUGCCAUGGCAACCAGUUGGCCACCACAAUAACACGGAGCAUGCACCGACCACAGGCCCAACCACCUGACCCACCUGA